CACAAGGACGAGCUGGAGCGUCAGUGCGCCGCCAUGCUCGCCCAAGGUAUCAUCCGUGCGAGUUGUUCCGCAUUCUCGUCCCCGGUACUGCUGGUCCGCAAGGCCGACGGGUCCUGGCGCUUCUGCAUCGAUUAUCGCGCCCUGAACGCCAUUACUGUCAAGAAUGCGUUCCCGAUUCCGGUGGUGGACGAACUCCUCGACGAGCUACGGCACGCUCGUUUCUUCACCAAGCUCGAUUUACGUUCCGGCUACCACCAGGUGCGGAUGCGUGCGGAGGACAUCCCGAAGACAGCUUUCCGUACUCAUGACGGCCUCUACGAGUUUCUGGUGAUGCCGUUCGGACUCUGCAACGCGCCGGCCACGUUCCAGGCCCUCAUGAAUGAUCUGCUGCGGCCAUACCUGCGCCGUUUUGUUCUCGUCUUCUUUGACGACAUCCUCAUUUUCAGCAAGACAUGGGCUGACCAUCUCCGACAUGUGCGCACCGUCUUCACGGUCCUGCACCAGCACCGGCUCUUCGUCAAGCGCUCCAAAUGCGCGUUCGCCGUUGAAUCAAUCGCAUACCUGGGUCACACCAUCUCCGCUGCAGGCGUGGCCAUGGAUCCGGAAAAGGUGCAGGCAGUAGCGGACUGGCCGCAACCACGCUCGGCGCGCGCGGUUCGGGGCUUUCUCGGCCUUGCGGGGUACUACCGCAAGUUUGUCAAGGACUUUGGCGUGGUUGCCGCGCCCCUGACGGCCCUCCUUCGCAAGGAUGGUUUCUCUUGGUCGCCGGAGGCGGCAGCAGCUUUUACCACCCUCAAGACGGCAAUCACCACGGCUCCCGUCCUCGCGUUACCGGAUUUUACACGGCCGUUCAUCGUCGAGUGUGACGCAUCGACGUACGGUUUCGGGGCCGUCCUUCUUCAGGACCACCACCCGGUGGCUUUCUUUAGCCGGCCAGCCGCGCCACGUCACCGUUCCCUGGCAGCGUAUGAACGGGAACUCAUCGGCCUGGUGCUCGCGAUUCGCCAUUGGAGGCCGUACCUAUGGGGGCGUCAAUUUGUGGUAAAAACGGAUCAUUACAGCCUCAAAUUUCUGCUUGACCAGCGUUUGGCCACCAUCCCGCAGCAUCAUUGG
rnacentral:rRNA from 1 species